UACGUAGGGACCGAGCGUUUGUCCGGAAUCAUUGGGCGUAAAGAGCGUGUAGGCGGCCACUUAAGUCCUGCGUGAAAUCUUUGCGGCUCAACCGCAAGCGGUCGUGGGAAACUGGGUGGCUAGAGUGCGGGAGAGGAGAGUGGAAUUCCUGGUGUAGCGGUGGAAUGCGCAGAGUAUCAGGAAGAACACCCGUGGCGAAGGCGGCUCUCUGGAACGCAACUGACGCUGAGACGCGAAAGCGUGGGGAGCAACAGG
rnacentral:rRNA from 1 species